GACCUGGACAUUUUCGAGAUGCCCCUAAUAACCAAUGAAUGGCAAGUGCUUUUCCUUAGAUCUGCCAUUUCUUAAAAUCUCUCUUCUGAUUCAAAAUCGUGGUGUAACGUGUAUCCCCCUGUUCCAGUCAUGGAAUAUAUAUCCUAAAAAGGGAGGGUUCGGGUUGGGGAUUAAAAUACCAUCCCCGCCCCUCCCCGAACGUACUCAAAAAAUUCCCAAUACCCAUUUUAUGUCCUUCAUACUUGAUCCACUAGCGUCGAAUUCCUGCGAAGACCCUUACCCGCGGAGAAAAUUGUCAUUCCUAUAUAAAAGUAUAUCUAUUGUGGAGAUAUAAUUACUUUCGCUCUGUCUCAGUUCUCUCUUCCUCUCUCAGCGGUUUAUCUCUCCAUCGUCGCUCCACGACCACCACCACUCUGUUUCUCCCUCUCUCGCGAAAACCAUCUUUGUGUCAAUUUCCCCAAAAAAAAAUUCUCAAUCUUUAUCCCCUACCCAGGGUUAUCUCGUCUUACAAAUCCAACCCAGAAAAAUAAAAGCUUUGCCAAAGCCUUGAAUACAUGUCCAUUAAGUUUUAAUCCUUUAUUUUUUCUUUCCAGCAGAAGAAAUAAUGGACACAAUGGACGAAAUCAGAGUCGAUUUGCCGCCUUCUGAUAGCAUUUACUUCACUGUGGAAUCAUUACCAAGAAGCUCGGUGUGGAUCAGUUCCAAAAUGUCCAUUCUUGCCGCAGUGGGAUAUCGGGUUCUUGUCUCGGAUCGUUGAAACGGGGCAUCCAGGUAUUUAUUUAUAACCUUGCUGUUCUGAUUACAUUUGGACUUUUGCGUUUCUGUUUUUGUUGAAAUCAUUUUGUGAGCUUUUCAAUUUGUGUAUGUGUUUCUUUUGGGAUUCUUUCAAUUGUCUGUUUCUGGGUUGUUGUUCUAUUGCUUCUGUUCUCACGUAGCUGACCAAUUGCAUAUGGGUUUAUAGUGCUGGAGUUAAAUAAGAUAUAUUAAAGUAUAUUUUAAAUCUUGGAGUGGUCUUCUUUUUUAAAAAUGAUCAGUUUUCUUUGUAAAGAUUCUCUCUUUGUUUAUGUGUAUGUAUAUGCAUGCAUACAGCUCUUGAUAAUUAUCAGAGGUUUAUUUCAAUUCCUGGAUAAUCUUUUUUCCCCGAUAAUUGACAAUGAAGUUUACUCAUCGAAUAUUGUGAUAGUAAUUUGCUCAAUCCUGUUUUGUAUGACAUUCAUGCAUUGAAUUAGAAUGGACUAUGAAUUGUUGUUUGUGGAAUGAAGUUGUGGAGGGUUUCAUAGAAUGGUUGAAAACUUUGGAAUGUGAGAGCAUGCUUUUAAGUGUACUUGAAAUUGAAUGAAAAUCGACUCUGUGAGUAUCAUAAACUUGAACCAGAACACCCAAUUUUAGGAACUGUUUAGUAGAAAGCUCCUGAGUUCAUUGAACUCCUGUUCGAUGCAAGUGCAUGAUCAUUAUAAAUUCUUUGCUAGUUUGCCUGGUAAUAUGCUAUAAUCUCGUCGUUGUUAUGGGUUAUGGUUCUUAUGGUACCAUACAGUGGUUUCAUUAUAUGGGCGGGAACUGGGAUGAAGACUGUGGAAGUAAAAUAUUGUUUUUCUUGCUUACCAAUCUCUGGUUCUAACUUGUGUGUGUGUCACACCCUUAAAUAUUAAUAUAUAGUCUCUUCACUAUAAAAGGCAACAUAGGAAAUUGGGGAUGAGAUUGUUGUUUCCUUGACUUAGUAUAGUUAAAGUAGGAGUAAAGAACAAAGAAUGUAAGCUAAAAAAUAAACUCUGGCAAUCAAACAAGUAUUUUUUUUUUCAUGUCUCGACAAUCAAACAAGUAGGUUUCACAAAAACGUGGUUUGUUAUAACUAAUCUACUCCCCUAGUUUGACGAAUGAUGUAUUGUGUUUUGUCCCUGCUGUAUGUUCUUCAUUUACAAAGAGAUUGUGGAAUAUUAGUUUCAUAGUAUUUUGUCAGUUUUAUUUAUUUAUUGUUUCGUUGUCUUCUUCUGGGUAGAGUUCACCUGGAGGACUACACAAGUGACUACACUGCUCCGGUUCUGUUGGGGUACUGCAUGGUUUAUAUAUUUAUGCAAACUUUCAUGAUCCCUGGUGCUAUAUUCAUGUCCUUGCUUGCUGGUUCCCUUUUUGGGGUUUUCAAAGGUGUAGUUUUGGUGGUUUUCAAUGCCACUGCUAGUGCAUCUUCUUGUUAUUUCUUGUCAAAGUUGAUAGGGAGACCCAUUGUCUUCUCUCUUUGGCCUGACAAGCUGCACUUUUUCCAAAACCAGGUAAAUUCAAAUGUCUCCAUAUCUCUCAUUGAUACUAACUUCAAAAAUAGGAGUGAGUCAUUUAUUUUUUCUUCCAGGUGGCUAAAAGAAGAGAGGGACUUUUGAACUACAUGUUUCUACGAUUGACUCCCACCUUGCCAAACACAUUUAUUAAUCUUGCUUCGCCAAUAGUGGAUGUACCCUAUCAUAAUUGGUCUGAUACCAGUUGGUUAUGUCACUGUCAUGUGUCUUUCACUUCUAAGAAAAUUUUGGGUUAAAUAAUGAAGUUCAAUUGUGGUCUCAGAACAUCACAAGGAAUUAUCAGAACUCUACCCAAAACCUGAAGGAUUCUAUGCUUAAAUGACCCAAAAUAAAAAUCAUUACGCAAAAACAGAUAUGAUUGUUAUUUUUUGAAUAGAGGAAGAUCAUUAUACCUCAACUUUUACAGAAGCCUUUCCGCCCAUUCCUUGCUCGAGGGUAUUUUGAUAUAGGAGUGUAAAAUGUGAUUCCAUUAAGGACGUCACAUCCUUUUUGUAAUAUGUUGUAGAUUAUGAAUAUAUAGUGGGAAUGUGGAGUUUUUGUAUUGUCAUUGUAUUGCUCCCCUAUUGCAUUUGUAUUGUUAUCGUAUUG
rnacentral:lncRNA from 1 species